AAUCAACGCUGGCGGCGUGCCUAACACAUGCAAGUCGAACGAGAAAGUGGAGCAAUCCAUGAGUAAAGUGGCGCACGGGUGAGUAACACGUGACUAACCUACCCUUGAGUGGGGGAUAACCUAGGGAACCUGGGCUAAUACCGCAUAAUACCUACGGGUCAAAGGAGCAAUUCGCUUUGGGAGGGGGUCGCGGCCGAUUAGUUAGUUGGCAGGGUAAUGGCCUACCAAGACGAUGAUCGGAUCCGGCCUGAGAGGGCGCACGGACACACUGGAACUGAAACACGGUCCAGACUCCUACGGGAGGCAGCAGUGGGGAAUUUUGCGCAAUGGGGGAAACCCUGACGCAGCAACGCCGCGUGGAGGAUGAAGUCCCUUGGGACGUAAACUCCUUUCGAUCGGGACGAUAAUGACGGUACGGAAGAAGAAGCCCC
rnacentral:rRNA from 1 species